UGGGGAAUCUUGCACAAUGGGGGAAACCCUGAUGCAGCGACGCCGCGUGAGCGAUGAAGGUUUUCGAAUCGUAAAGCUCUGUCCUAUGGGAAGAUAAUGACGGUACCAUAGGAGGAAGCCCCGGCUAACUACGUGCCAGCAGCCGCGGUAAUACGUAGGGGGCGAGCGUUGUCCGGAAUUACUGGGCGUAAAGGGUUCGCAGGCGGCAUGACAAGUCCGAUGUAAAAGGCGAAAGCUCAACUUUCGUAAGCAUCGGAAACUGUCAAGCUUGAGUGAAGGAGAGGCAAGUGGAAUUCCUAGUGUAGCGGUGGAAUGCGUAGAUAUUAUGAGGAAUACCGGUGGCGAAGGCGACUUGCUGGACUUCAACUGACGCUGAGGAACGAAAGCGUGGGUAGCAAACAGG
rnacentral:rRNA from 1 species